UACAGAGGUCGCAAGCGUUGUUCGGAUUCAUUGGGCGUAGAGGGUGCGUAGGCGGCGGGGCAAGUCGGGUGUGAAAUUUCGGAGCUUAACUCCGAAACUGCAUUUGAUACUGCCUUGCUUGAGGACUGGAGAGGAGACUGGAAUUCACGGUGUAGCAGUGAAAUGCGUAGAGAUCGUGAGGAAGACCAGUGGCGAAGGCGGGUCUCUGGGCAGUUCCUGACACUGAGGCACGAAGGCCAGGGGAGCAAACGGG
rnacentral:rRNA from 1 species